rnacentral:rRNA from 1 species
UUUCCGUAGGUGAACCUGCGGAGGGAUCAUUACUGAGUUUACGCUCUACAACCCUUUGUGAACAUACCUAUAACUGUUGCUUCGGCGGGUAGGGUCUCCGCGACCCUCCCGGCCUCCCGCCUCCGGGCGGGUCGGCGCCCGCCGGAGGAUAACCAAACUCUGAUUUAACGACGUUUCUUCUGAGUGGUACAAGCAAAUAAUCAAAACUUUUAACAACGGAUCUCUUGGUUCUGGCAUCGAUGAAGAACGCAGCGAAAUGCGAUAAGUAAUGUGAAUUGCAGAAUUCAGUGAAUCAUCGAAUCUUUGAACGCACAUUGCGCCCGCCAGCAUUCUGGCGGGCAUGCCUGUUCGAGCGUCAUUUCAACCCUCAAGCUCUGCUUGGUGUUGGGGCCCUACAGCUGAUGUAGGCCCUCAAAGGUAGUGGCGGACCCUCUCGGAGCCUCCUUUGCGUAGUAACUUUACGUCUCGCACUGGGAUCCGGAGGGACUCUUGCCGUAAAACCCCCAAUUCCAAAGGUUGACC